UUCUUGCUGUUAAUGGAGAAAUUGAAUGUC
rnacentral:piRNA from 1 species